CCUACGGGAGGCAGCAGUAGGGAAUAUUGCGCAAUGGGCGAAAGCCUGACGCAGCAACACCGCGUGAAUGAUAAGGGCUUCGGGGUGUAAAGUUCUGUUAAUAGGGACGAAAUUUGACUGUACCUAUAAAGGAAGCACCGGCUAACUCCGUGCCAGCAGCCGCGGUAAUACGGGGGGUGCAAGCGUUGUCCGGAAUCAUGGGGCGUAAAGCGGUCGUAGGCGGCAAGGUAAGUCUGAUGUUAAAGCCCGGGGCUCAACUCCGGUUCGGCAUUGGAUACUAUCUAGCUAGAAUGUGGUAGAGGUAGAGGGAAUUCCUGGUGUAGCGGUGAAAUGCGUAGAUAUCAGGAGGAACCUCGGUGGCGAAGGCGCUUUACUGGACCAUUAUUGACGCUGAGGAACGAAAGCCCGGGGAGCAAAUAGGAUUAGAUACCCGAGUAGUC
rnacentral:rRNA from 1 species